rnacentral:misc_RNA from 1 species
GACGAAGUGACAGUCCAGUUCGACGUGCUUCGUCCGUUCAUGAAAUACCGGAUUCUUCGCAAUGUGAAUGGCUGCAAGAUAUCCGAAUGAAGUGGCACCGGUAUUGAGAGGUCUUUGAACAGACGGACUAACCAGGUACCCUAGUCGAAAUCACAGAAAGCUGUCAGCUUGAAAGAGGAAGAGGAUGGGAAAAAUAGACCAAGACCUGGAUCAUUAGCAAGUAACGCAACACCCGCAAAGCAGCAGUUAAGUGCGACUGACAAGGAUCCUGCAUAAAUUGACUUAGGUGCUGCACAGGCCUCGUAUUAGUCAGGUCUUUAUCAGCUGGAACAUCUAGAGAUCCAUCAAUGAAUCCUAGUUUGUUCUGAGCAAUAAUCACAGCCCUUCUCCAGCCACCAUAGUUUCUACCAUCAAAGACAGUAGAAACAAGGUUCAUGCCUGGGAUAUCUGAAGGAUGAAUGCAGAAAGCAUGUGAAACAUGUACUGAUUUAUUUACAACAGCUACUUCAAAAAUUUCAGUAGUUUGUGAAAGGAGAAUCUGAACAUGAGUCAUUUUUCAAAAAAUGGAAGGAAGAGUGAAGACUAUGGAGAAGAAGAUAGGAUCAUUUUUCAAAGUGAG